GACGUAGGGCGCGAGCGUUGUCCGGAUUUAUUGGGCGUAAAGAGCUCGUAGGCGGUUUGUCGCGUCUGCCGUGAAAGUCCGGGGCUCAACUCCGGAUCUGCGGUGGGUACGGGCAGACUAGAGUGAUGUAGGGGAGACUGGAAUUCCUGGUGUAGCGGUGAAAUGCGCAGAUAUCGGGAGGAACACCGGUGGCGAAGGCGGUUCUCUGGGCCUGUACUGACGCUGAGGAGCGAAAGCGUGGGGAGCGAACAGG
rnacentral:rRNA from 1 species